AACCCAUGGUGAGGGCACCAUCUCAGAAGGUCCUUGUAUCUCUCCCAUGCAUUGUAGAGUGUUUCUACAUCCAUCUACACAAAAGAAGAGAAUCAUUAUGUAAUU
rfam:Gossypium arboreum cultivar AKA8401 contig_18288_3, whole genome shotgun sequence.